GCGGAUGGUUGGGUGGCUGCAGCCUAAAAGCUGAGGAAAGUCCGGACUCCAUGGAAGAUGGUGCCAGUUAAUAGCUGGCCAAGGUAACUUGAGGGAAAGCGCCACAGAAAAUAUACCGCCUUAUUAUUAGGUAAGGGUGAAAAGGUGAGGUAAGAGCUCACCGCUUUUUUGGUAACAAAAAAGGCAUGGCAAGCCCCACCAGGAGCAAGACCUAAUAGGGACUCGUGAGCAUAGCUCGGUUAUUCCAGACAGAGUCCGGGUUGGUCGCUAGAACUUAUUGGUAACAAUAAGUCAAGAUGAAUGGUCACCAAACACAGAGUGUUUACAGGAUCCGGCUUACAAAUCAUCCGCACAA
rnacentral:RNase_P_RNA from 1 species